GUGAUGUAGGAGGACUUUCUUCACUACCAGAGCCAUGGACAGGACUCUCUCCUGUAGAGAUAGUGAAGUGGCCGACAGUCCGAGAAGGCAGUGAAGUGGCCGACAGUCCGAGAAGGCAGGGAAGUGGCCGACAGUCCGAGAAGGCAGGGAAGUGGCCGACAGUCCGAGAAGGCAGGGAAGUGGCCGACAGUCCGAGAAGGCAGGGAAGUGGCCGACAGUCCGAGAAGGCAGGGAAGUGGCCGACAGUCCGAGAAGGCAGGGAAGUGGCCGACAGUCCGAGAAGGCAGGGAAGUGGCCGACAGUCCGAGAAGGCAGUGAAGUGGCCGACAGUCCGAGAAGGCAGUGUGAGGUGGUACUUCAGAGUGGCAGGCUGGGCGAACCUCCUCCCACACAGGGCACAGAAGUACGGCUUCUCCCCUGUAUGCACCAUCUGGUGUCUCUUCAGGACGUCCGCCUGGCUGAACCGUCUCCCACAGUCAGGGCAGGUGUAUGGCUUCUCACCUGAUAGAUGGAUGGA